rnacentral:misc_RNA from 1 species
GUCCCUUUUCCCAAAACUUCAGCAGAAGCUUUCAACAAAUCAUCCAAAUUGAAAUUUUUAGCCAUUUUCCCAAAAAACACCAAACUUUUUCCAUCAUUUACAGCAGCCUCAGCUUUACCUUUAUCCUUAUUACCCCCUCCAACACCAAUAGCUGCAAUUGCACUACCCAAGAAUCCAUCUUUUCCACCAUUACCUUCAACCCCUCUUUCUUCAGGUAUUUCAACUUCAACCUGCUUACUAACAGCACCAACAUCAGCAGAUCUUGUUUCUGCUUUACCCCUUUUUCUACAACAGAAAAACAGCAAACAAAGAAGCAAAAGCAAACCAACUACACAACCAAUUACAAUACCAGCAAUUGCUCCACCAGAAAGUUUCUUCUUUUUACCUUCUCCACUACUACUACUACCAUCACAUGAAUCAAGUGGCUUACCACAAAGUGAAGUACCCAAAAAAGCAUCCUUGGGUUGACCCGAGAGUUUAUCAGGAAUGGACCCGUUUAGCUGAUUAUUCGAUACAUUGAACUGAACCAAACCAGGUAAAUUCAGAUCCGGUAUCUGACCCGAAAACCCAUUUCCCUGCAAGUAAAGUGUACCCAA